UGCGGGAUGGAGCAGUGGUAGCUCGCAAGGCUCAUAAUCUUGAGGUCGUUGGUUCAAGUCCAACUCUCGCAAC
rnacentral:tRNA from 1 species